rnacentral:rRNA from 1 species
CCUACGGGUGGCUGCAGUGGGGAAUAUUGGACAAUGGGGGGAACCCUGAUCCAGCCAUGCCGCGUGUGUGAAGAAGGCCCUCGGGUUGUAAAGCACUUUCAGUGAGGAAGAACGCCUGGUGGUUAAUACCCAUCAGGAAAGACAUCACUCACAGAAGAAGCACCGGCUAACUCCGUGCCAGCAGCCGCGGUAAUACGGAGGGUGCGAGCGUUAAUCGGAAUUACUGGGCGUAAAGCGCGCGUAGGUGGCUUGAUAAGCCGGUUGUGAAAGCCCCGGGCUCAACCUGGGAACGGCAUCCGGAACUGUCAAGCUAGAGUGCAGGAGAGGAAGGUAGAAUUCCCGGUGUAGCGGUGAAAUGCGUAGAGAUCGGGAGGAAUACCAGUGGCGAAGGCGGCCUUCUGGAUUGACACUGACACUGAGGUGCGAAAGCGUGGGUAGCAAACAGGAUUAGAUACCCUGGUAGUC